GGGAUACUAUAGUUCAAUACUCUGCCAACUGAGCUAUAGCCCAAUACUCUGCCGACCUUGUAGCUCAGUUGGCAGAGUAUUGGACUAUAGUAUCCC